rnacentral:rRNA from 1 species
CUACGGGCCGCUCCAGUGGGGAAUAUUGCACAAUGGAGGAAACUCUGAUGCAGCAACGCCGCGUGGAGGAUGGCACUUUUCGGAGCGUAAACUCCUUUUAUAUAGGAAGAAGAUGACGGUACUAUAUGAAUAAGCGCCGGCUAACUCCGUGCCAGCAGCCGCGGUAAUACGGAGGGCGCAAGCGUUACUCGGAAUCACUGGGCGUAAAGAGCGUGUAGGCGGAUUAAAAAGUCAGAAGUGAAAUCCUAUAGCUUAACUAUAGAACUGCCUCUGAAACUCUUAAUCUAGAAUAUGGGAGAGGUAGAUGGAAUUUCUGGUGUAGGGGUAAAAUCCGUAGAGAUCAGAAGGAAUACCGAUUGCGAAGGCGAUCUACUAGAACAUUAUUGACGCUGAGACGCGAAAGCGUGGGGAGCAAACAGGAUUAGAUACCCUAGUAGUC